AGAUUGAACGCUGGCGGCGUGCCUAACACAUGCAAGUCGAGCGGCAGCGCGGUAGCAAUACUGGCGGCGAGCGGCGAACGGGUGAGUAAUACUUUGGAAUCUUCCCAGUAGUGGGGAAUAACCAGUCGAAAGAUUGGCUAAUACCGCAUACGUCUGAAAAGGGAAAGCGGGGGCUCGUAAGACCUCGCGCUAUUGGAUGAGCCAAAGUCGGAUUAGCUAGUUGGUGGGGUAAUGGCCUACCAAGGCGACAAUCCGUAGCUGGUCUGAGAGGACGACCAGCCACACCGGAACUGAGACACGGUCCGGACUCCUACGGGAGGCAGCAGUGGGGAAUAUUGGACAAUGGGGGAAACCCUGAUCCAGCGACGCCGCGUGUGUGAAGAAGGCCUGCGGGUUGUAAAGCACUUUUAGUGGGGACAAAAAGCUACGGAUUAAUACUUCGUGGUCUUGAUUUAACCCAAAGAAAAGCACCGGCUAACUCUGUGCCAGCAGCCGC
rnacentral:rRNA from 1 species